GCUAGUUGGUGAGGUAAAGGCCCACCAAGGCGAUGAUGGGUAGCCGGCCUGAGAGGGUGUACGGCCACACUGGGACUGAGAUACGGCCCAGACUCCUACGGGAGGCAGCAGCUAAGAAUAUUCCGCAAUGGACGAAAGUCUGACGGAGCGACGCCGCGUGGAUGAAGAAGGCCGAAAGGUUGUAAAGUUCUUUUGCUAGGGGAGAAUAAGUGAGGGAGGGAAUGCCCUCAUGAUGACAAGGACUAGCGAAUAAGCCCCGGCCAACUACGUGCCAGCAGCCGCGGUAACACGUAGGGGGCGAGCGUUGUUCGGAAUUACUGGGCGUAAAGGGCAUGUAGGCGGCUUGGUAAGCCUGGCGUGAAAGACUGCAGCUUAACUGUAGGGAUGCGUUGGGAACUGCUUAGCUUGAGUUACGGAGAGGGAGCUGGAAUUCCUGGUGUAGGGGUGAAAUCUGUAGAUAUCAGGAAGAACACCGGUGGCGAAGGCAAGCUUCUGGUCGAUAACUGACGCUGAGGUGCGAAAGUGUGGGGAUCAAACAGGAUUAGAUACCCUGGUAGUCCACACUGUAAACGAUGUGCACGAGGUGCUGGGGCGGUAGUUUCAGUG
rnacentral:rRNA from 1 species